ACCCCAGGUACUUUGAACAUCACUGCUGUGUUUUCUCCGAGAUCAUGCUUCCCAUGGGGCCGCUUUCAGCUAAUGACUGAGCAUGGAAGGAUACUAAGUUAAGGCCAUUCCUAGAAGACAUGAGAUUCCACUAAUGACUAAAUUUGGAUUCCCUGAUGAUAGCCUUGCUGAAUCUUCCUUAAACCAAAUGACAGUCUAGGAUUCUAUUAACAAUCUUCCUUAAACCAAAUGACAGUCUAGGAUUCUAUUAACAAUCUUCCCUUUAUCACUCCUUUACUUCAGGUCUGACUUACCUCUGGUCUGACAUCUCUCCCAGUCUCCUGGCUCCCUUCUCAUAUUGUGUCAUACAACUAUUUAAUUAAAUCCUUCUACAUCUAAUCAUAUCCUAGUAUCUGUUUCUCAGGAGACUCCAAGUAACAAUCUUUAUCUAAUGAAAAUAAUUUCCUUUCAUUUCUAUUAUUGUAGGAAUUUUGAACUUUCAUUUCUUCUAGUAGAUAAAUUAAAUAUUUUGAUUCAUAUCAUCAGUAUUUCUCUUUAGAGGAGUAUAGUGUUAACUGGGACUUUAUGUGCAUAUCUCUAUACUUCAUUUACUUCUCUCGGGGACUUAUUUGUUUGUUUGUUUUGAGUAUUUGUUUUAUUUAUAUAAUUACUUUUUGAAAGUUAGAGAAACUAACAAGUGCUGAAUUAUUAUCCAUAAUUUUUUCUCCCCCUUCUUUCCAUCUAAGAAUUGUGAGACCUAGUAACUUUUAUGGCUUUAGUAGGUUUCUAUUUUUUCAAGUUAAUGGCAUGUAUUUUCUCCUCAACUCUUUACCCAUACCUCUCUUGUUUCCCUCCAAGCUGUCUGUAGGAUGUCAAUACAUAUUUUCAAGACAGGUUUAACUUGUCCUUCUACAUGACUUCUGGGAUGGAAUAGGAGUUGUUUGUAGAUUUUUGAUCUUGUCUUUCUCUGCAUUCCUGGAUUUCUUAUCUCACAAUUUAUGAUGUGCAUUUGCAUGCUAUCAUUAUAAAUGCACUUGCAUGUUUUUUCACUUGCUUACUGAAAUUUUUUGUCACUCUUCUUAAAUGUAAGGAAGGAAUCUUUUAUAUUCUUCCUUCAGUAGUGCUAUUGUUAUGCCAAAGUUACUUCAAUACCAUUUUAACAUGCAAUAAAAUUGAUAAUUAAAACUGUAUUAAUUCCAAAUGAAGAAUCAACUUUGAAGUAAAUUAUAUUUUUUCUGGUUGGAAGUUCUCACUUAUUAUAUCAGAAAUACCCUUCAAGAUAGCACCUUCGAUUAUACAAUUUGUGAAUGAAACAACUUUGUUGCAGAAGUAGAAUUCUAAUAUACGUGAUUUGCAACUGUUAGUAAAUUUCCUGAAUUGCAAAUGUAUGUGUUUUCAAAAUAUUACAUUAUAAUAUAUUUAGGAAGGGAUAGGGAAAACCUAAAAGCUCUUCAUACAAGUCUACACUUUAAUAUACUAUGAGUGAGUCAGAUAUGGGAGAGCAUGAAUACAGGAAUCAUGUGGAUGUCUACAUGCAGAAUUAUUAGGUCAGGAUGUCAAAGUCUGGAGGUGGUUGUUCAGAGCACCAGGUUUGGCUUGGCCCUCAUGGUGAGCAGAGGCAGUGGGUGAAUUCUCAGCCUAGGAUAUUAUACAGUCCACAUAAUACAGAAAGAAAACAGAACUUCUAGUCAGUUUGGUGAAGUGAACUGACAUGAUAAACUCCCACAUACAAUCCCACAGUAGUAAUAUAUAACUUAUAAUAAUUUAAUAUUUACUUAACCAAUAUUAAAAAUAUAAAAGAUAAGUGUUUGAGUGCUAGAAAUAAAAAGCACUUCAAAUUAGAUUGAUGAAGAGGAGUUUAAUUGAAUAGUUCAUAAAGAUAUUGGAACCAGGAGAGAGUUUUAAUGCCUAUGCUGGGAGACAGUAAUUUAUGACACAUUUCUCUUGAAAUAACCCAAUUCUAUGCUUAAUAUGAUUGAAUUUUUGGACCUUUCUUAUUAUAUUAUAGCAGGAUUUUAUUACACAUAGCAAGUCUGGAAAUGAAAACAUAUAGUCAUUGAAAUGAAAAAUUCAACAAGUGGUUUAUAAAAAGAGGAUAAGCUAAUUGGAAGAUGAUUUUGGUGUACUGAGAAACUCAAACAUAUUGGUGAACAGAAGAUAAAGAAAUAGAAAAUAAAUUUGAAUUAAAAAAAACUCAGGGAAUAAAUGAUGAGAAAGUCCAAUAUAUGUUGAAUAGGAGUUCUAGAAGGAAUGAGCAGAGAGACAAAGGAGGAGACAAUAAUGACAGAGUAACAGAUGAGAAUUUCUCAGAAGUGAAUAAAAACAGGAUCUUUUUGUUGAACAAGCAGUUUUACAUGACUAGGUUUAUACUAGGAAAAUUAAGGCAGUGUAUAUUUAUGUUCUAAAUCAAAUAUAAAACAUCGUGCUUAUUUGUAUUUAUUUGUAAAAUGUAAUUACUAAACUUUUUCAACUGUGCCAUUAUGCUCUUAAGAUACAAAGAAACUAGAUCAUAAGCAGUAAAGAGAAAAUAUAUAAUCUUCUGAUAAAAUCAUCCUCUAACAGAAAGAGCCCAAACCAACAAAUUUACAGAUAAAAACUGCAAAGAUAAAGAGAUAUAACAGGAGUAAGUAAAGCAUAUGAAAGAUUACUGCUUCAUGAAAGUGAAAGAAAUAAUUCUAUCCAGUGUAUACACAUGCAUAAUCAUGCUGGGACCUGCAGAUAGGCUUUCGUAUCAGAGAGCAGGAUGAGCCUCAGAUGGUGCACAGUGCUGGAGGUUAAGACGAAGCAGAGGAGGCAUCCUGGGUUUCCCCUGAAAGGAGAUGGUCCUUUGUCUAAGAGAAUAGUCCUACACAAUGCAUAAACUGAAGCCAGCCUGAAAACUGUCUUAUUGGUCCUCAGUGAGAAAAGUAGAAAAGGUGAGAGUGGUCAUUUGGAAAUUUUUAGAGUAAUUUGGCAUUACCAGGAAAUCCAAGUGCAUGACUGCAUACUUCACAAAAGUAUCAGUCUGAGAGAGAUUAGAUAUUAAAAACAAACAAACAUCAAUAGGAACAAAAAACUAGCCCUUCUCCAUAGAUAGUUUGAGAGGGCUUCCAAAGAAUUCUAAGUUGGGAGGUGCUGUUACAACUGGAAAAUGAUCAGAAUUUUAUAUAUGAGAAAGAUGGGCUCAGAGCAGGAAGGCAAGUUGCUUAAGUUCAAACAGCAAGUAAGCGAAGCACAGUUCUUUUUAAUUUCAAUGGAACAAUAUUUACACCUUAUUGUCAAUUUAAGUUAUUCUUGGUUCUUCUGAGAAGCUUGAAAAAGACAUCUGUUCGCUCUGAAGGAACAUAUAUGGAGCACACGCUAUAGCCUCCUUUUCUUUAAAUCCCUAUAAAUGAGAGAAAAAUUUCCCAAAUCCAUAAUGAUUUUUGGAAAAUGAGGAGACUCUGUGGUAGACUAGAAAUUGUGAUGGAUACUGACAAAUUAAAAGGAGAUGGAGUUUAAUUAAAGAAGGAAACAGUAACUCAAGAUUUAUGAAUGAUGAUUCUGUAGCAGAAGUGGUAGUGAUAGCAAGCCUGCUUCUUCCCAGAAAUGAUGGUCACCUGGAGGAAGAGAAGAAGGCACAGAAGAAAAUAACAGAGAUGAAUUGAGUUGUCACAGGCUGAACGGCCAGGAAGCUCUUGUACAUCUUGAGACAAGCAACAACAAGGGAAGAGCUGGGUUUCUUCCAGAUGAGGACAGUGGAAGUAUGAUGUUGAACUGAAGAAUGAGAACAAUAGCCUGGGUAGAUAAAAAUGCUUAGGAGAAGUGAAGAACAAAAGUAAGCCACAAGGCUUGUCACAACUGGUAAGCAUGCCCCAGAACUACUCUCACUAAAACAUACAAAAGUAAAAGCCAUGUUGUACCCUGCCUCUACCCUAAGCAGACUAUGCAAACAGAGCCUAAAAAAACAUCUCAACUCCAGAAAGUGUUCACAAUAAAAAAAUAACUAAUAAAAAUCAGGGGAUGCCAGCAUCAAGAAUGAAUAAUGAUCAACUAAAAAAAUAGCAUGUCUACAUAAGCAGUUAAUAAAUAUAAGCUGUAGAGGGCUUUAAAAUAAAUUGUAUUUACUUUCUGAGAAAAUGAAAGAAGUAGCAUAAGUCAUUGAAAUGGAUGAUUUAAUUAUUGGUUUGAAAUAAAACUUCAAUUAUUGGAAUGAGUAACAGAAUGGAUUUAAGUGAGGGGAAAUUAGUUUAUUGGUUGAAU
rnacentral:lncRNA from 1 species